UACGGGGGGGGCAAGCGUUGUUCGGAAUUACUGGGCGUAAAGGGCUCGUAGGCGGCCAACUAAGUCAUACGUGAAAUCCCUCGGCUUAACCGGGGAACUGCGUCUGAUACUGGAUGGCUUGAGAUUGGGAGAGGGAUGCGGAAUUCCAGGUGUAGCGGUGAAAUGCGUAGAUAUCUGGAGGAAUACCGGUGGCGAAGGCGGCAUCCUGGACCGACAUUGACGCUGAGGAGCGAAAGCUAGGGGAGCAAACGGG
rnacentral:rRNA from 1 species